rnacentral:misc_RNA from 1 species
AAAUUAUCAAGAAUUUAUUUUAAAAAAAGAAAAAGAAAAUAUCUGAAAUCAAUGCCACCCUUUAAGACAUGCAAGAGGCCACGGACCACAUGACUUGAGAAAGAACAAAAAUUUACUAAAUAUCUUUUCAAAAUGACCACUUGGCACUUGGUUAUCAGCUGAAGGCUAAAGAUAAUUUUGCACCGUCCUCUUUGCGUUGGAGAAAGCUGAUGCAAACUUGAUAAAUAAAACAAGAUCAUUCAAAUACAGGAGAAACUGGGCAAACCUUUCCUAUAAUGCUUCCAUUUUCAUACAUAAUCAAUGUUCAAAAUAGUACUGGUGUGCUAGAUAGUUCAGCAUAUCAUCAAUGCUGGUCUUCAGUAACUAAGUGAAGCUAACAACAGAAAGCUAAUAGGAACUUUUGAUCAAAAAACUACACAUACUCCCUUGUUCGCUCCCACCCCUUUCCUAUUCCCUUUUGCCCCUCUCCACUGAGGCCAAUGUCUUAAAAGUUUUUUUUGCUGUAAUGUUGAAACUAAAUAAUUGUUGUGCAUUUUAGUUCCAGCAAACCAAUGUGCUAUGAGAAGCCUCAGAAGUAGCUCAAGCGCACAAUCUGUCUUGGUGAUUUCUUCCACAAAAGAUUUCAUGGAGAGAUUUCCCAAGAUGUAAUUUAAUGCAAGGAAAUUCAAUCCCUCCAUUUUCGCUUCUCUCUUUUGGAAUCUGCUCUAUCUUUUUCAGUACUGAAAUGAGAUCUGCCAGAAGAGUCCCGGCUUCUGUGCUUAUGAUGUUUUGAAUGCUUUCUGCUGCUGCUCUUUUCUCGGGAGGAUCCUUUCUUUCUUCCUUUCAACCUAGAAUGGUAACGAUUUUGAUCAUCACUGUAUGAAUCACUGUACGAGUAACUGCUGCUAUACCCAUGUCUCCUUGAACUUUUCCUGGUCCUUUCACCGUCUGAUGAACUGCUGCUUCGUUUUCGAUGCUGACUAGGGAGGGAUUUAACCUUCCUAUCCUCUUGAGCUAUCUUUUCAAAACCAGUCCUGCCAGAUCUAUUAUCAGAUGGAGCAGGUUCCACAUACCUACUGCUAUCACCCUGUGGGUUACCUUGAAUGGAUUCAUUCUUUUGGGAUUCAGUCCCUUCAGCACCCUCCUGGUUAUACAGAACCUCCUUAUUUUCAACUGGCAGGUUAUUCAUAUUCCCAGCAUUGGCAAUAACAGAUUCAUUCUUGGAAGCAGAAGUUCUGGUUUUAUUCGUUGAGUAGGAAACUUCAGGGGGGACCUCUAGCCCCAGUUCUUUCCCCAAAGAUUCUAAAAAGUCACCUGCUAUCAAACGAUUUAAUGUUGUAUGAGCCACUUCAACCUUCUUCUCAGGAUCCUCCCCUUUAUUGACAGUAGGGGCUUCAAUCUCAUCAUCAGAAUCAUCGGAGAAAAUAGCCUUGUAAAGGUCAACAGGCCUCUCCACAUUUUCCACUUGCACCUCAACUUCCUUUUCCCCAUCAGCUACAUCUUUGCUUAUUUGAGAGUCAGUUUGAAGAAGAGAAACUUGAUCUCUAUUUGCAGUAACAUUUUCUUCCAAUUUCGUGGCUUUGACAGAAUCUGAUGUGAAUAUUAAGGAAUCCAUCUUGCUUCUCAUCCGUGGAGGUGGCGGUGGCUUUCCCAUAUAAGGAUCAAUUAGAUCAAAGCGCUUGCACAGAACAGGUAGAGGACGCCAUUGAAAUUCUUCCCUUUUAGGGUAAAUCUUCCUUGCCAUGAAAUCUUCAGCAUGUGCAUCUUUACCUUGCUGUUUCAGAAAUUUUAUUUCAGGAAAAUCAACCAUUAGCAAUAACCUCACAACUUGAAACUAUUCUCGAGAAAUAUUACCUCCAAUCCAGCAGAAGUAAACUGCAUCCCUCCACCAGCUGAAAACUCCAACUGUUGAGUAGAGAAUUUACUUUCCUUGUUACACUUCCCUUUCUCUAUUGCCUCAGCAGCAGCCUCGAAGUCUAAUCUCUCUUUAGCACGAGCUGCUUCUGACAUAUUGCUAGCUCCAAUAUAAUCAAUAGAACGAAGCCCUCCUUGAUACUUUUCCUUGAGAAACCUCUCAAAUCUUUCUUGCUUUGCAGGAUCAUCUUUGAAAGGUUUUUCCACCGCAGGCAACCCACCAAAAGAUGCAGGUUUUGUAAAUGUAUCUGAAAGAUUGAACUGAAGAUUAACAUCUGCAGAAACAACAGAUGAGCUGAAAUCUUUCAAGCUUCUUUCUAAAGGCCUCUCCCCUAAUAUUUUGCCACGGGUCUCUGCAGUCAUUGUCUGAACACUUGUAGAUAAUUUCCCAUCCAAAGCCAGAUUCUUCUGAUCAUUAUGUUUCUGCCGUUCCUCCCACAACUUCCUAGCAUAAUAGUCGUGACCAUUUCCUCCAUUAAGAAAACUAAAUAUUGGAUUUGAUUGAUUUUUCUCUCGGGAAAGAUCCUCAAAUAAUUUACCACAUCGAGCAACCAAAGUUGCAACCCCCUCAAUUAAGAGCUUCAUAUUAUUGUCAACAGGAGGCAGAACCUCCGGUGGAGGAGGAAUAGUGUGCUUGUCAUCAGCAUUAAGGGGACCAGGAAAUUUGUGAUGGGGCACAAAAUCCUUCGGAAUUUUGGGAGGAUCAAAUCUUUCCAAUGCAUAAUCAGAAUUUGAUGCAACUCUGAAUCCGGGAAGAACACCUUGCUCCUUCCAGGCCAAUUUUGGCUGAUGGUCUGUGCUGGGUCUUGGUGGCUCUUCAACUUCUUGGUCUUGUACAAAAGUUUCUUCAAAGUCAUAAGCAGAUGCAUAGACGUCCUCAUCUUCAGCAUCAUAUUCUUCAAGUGCUCCAAUGCCAAAGCCAGGAGCAGCCUUUCCUGACUUGAAUCCAAAAAGACCAUCUCUCAUUAAUGAAGCCUUUUUAUUCCCAGGCCCUCUGUGAUCAGAUGCACGUAAUCUUUUCUUCUCUCUGAACUCAGGAGCAUGCUUAUAUGGAUCAUAUCCUAAACCAUACAUAUCUUGUUUUGGGUUGAGAACAAAAAUAGGGGUGCUUUGAGAAGUCUGAACAUCAUUGUUAACAGACUGCUCUACGCUUCCAAGGUAAUCCUCACCAGUCUCAGACUUGGUACAAUGUGCUUUUGCAUCAUCAGAAGAAAAUGCUAGGAAAGCUUUUCUAGCUUCUCUACGAGCAUCAUACUGUGAAUUUGCAUGUAGAUCCUUGAUUGAAUGACCAUGUCUCCACCACAUCUUCAGCAGCAAUUUUACACCAAUAGACUCUGUGGCUGGAAGAACUAUUUCAUCAAGAACAGGUCCAGGAAUAGCAGAUGGCCUGCGAUGGACAUCCAAAAAGGAUCACGCCGCUAUAAAAAGAAAAUUAAAAAAAAGGAGAAAAAUUAGAGACUAAAGGAAACACAUUUACAUACACGCAGAUGAAUGUCCGUGGCUUGUCCAUUAGUUAAUCAAAAUAUUAACUGUCAGGAUGAUGUAUUUACAUCAUACAACAUAAAGAAACAAUACAAUGUAACAUUCAUUAAAUAAAGCAACAGUUAUGGAGCUCUUCUUUUUCCAGAACAAAUAGAAUACAUAUAAAUUCACCGAUUAAAGAUCUAGCUAUUUACCAUGUCAAGAAAAUAAAUUUCAUUUCACAUA